GGCCACUGCUAUGGGGGUCCGACUAAGCCAUGCGAGUCAUGGGGCGCGCUCUGCGCGCACCGGCGGACGGCUCAGUAACACGUCGGUAACCUACCCUCGGGAGGGGGAUAACCCCGGGAAACUGGGGCUAAUCCCCCAUAGGCCUGAGGUACUGGAAGGUCCUCAGGCCGAAAGGGGCAUCUGCCCGCCCGAGGAUGGGCCGGCGGCCGAUUAGGUAGUUGGUGGGGUAACGGCCCACCAAGCCGAAGAUCGGUACGGGCCAUGAGAGUGGGAGCCCGGAGAUGGACACUGAGACACGGGUCCAGGCCCUACGGGGCGCAGCAGGCGCGAAACCUCCGCAAUGCGGGCAACCGCGACGGGGGGACCCCCAGUGCCGUGGCAUCGCCACGGCUUUUCCGGAGUGUAAAAAGCUCCGGGAAUAAGGGCUGGGCAAGGCCGGUGGCAGCCGCCGCGGUAAUACCGGCGGCCCGAGUGGUGGCCGCUAUUAUUGGGCCUAAAGCGUCCGUAGCCGGGCCCGUAAGUCCCUGGCGAAAUCCCACGGCUCAACCGUGGGGCUUGCUGGGGAUACUGCGGGCCUUGGGACCGGGAGAGGCGGGGGGUACCCCUGGGGUAGGGGUGAAAUCCUAUAAUCCCAGGGGGACCGCCAGUGGCGAAGGCGCCCCGCUGGAACGGGUCCGACGGUGAGGGACGAAGGCCAGGGGAGCGAACCGGAUUAGAUACCCGGGUAGUCCUGGCUGUAAAGGAUGCGGGCUAGGUGUCGGGCGAGCUUCGAGCUCGCCCGGUGCCGAAGGGAAGCCGUUAAGCCCGCCGCCUGGGGAGUACGGCCGCAAGGCUGAAACUUAAAGGAAUUGGCGGGGGAGCACUACAAGGGGUGGAGCGUGCGGUUUAAUUGGAUUCAACGCCGGGAACCUCACCGGGGGCGACGGCAGGAUGAAGGCCAGGCUGAAGGUCUUGCCGGACACGCCGAGAGGAGGUGCAUGGCCGCCGUCAGCUCGUACCGUGAGGCGUCCACUUAAGUGUGGUAACGAGCGAGACCCGCGCCCCCAGUUGCCAGUCCUCCCCGCUGGGGAGGAGGCACUCUGGGGGGACCGCCGGCGAUAAGCCGGAGGAAGGAGCGGGCGACGGUAGGUCAGUAUGCCC
rnacentral:rRNA from 1 species